CUUUUCUGCCGGGCCGCGGGAGAAGGAAGGCGCUUCGGGAACCGUCUGCCUAGCGGGCGGGGCGGCAGCGCCUGCGGGCCUGUCGCCGGGCUCUUUGAGGGGGUGGGGGGGAGUACCAGUCUGACAAGUACCAGUCCCUGCGGUGUUAGAUCCUCGUCUUUUUUUCCUGCCUGGAACCUGGCUCCGAGCCAGAGCGCGUGGGUCCGCCUCGGGCCUCUCCGCUCUGUGGGUCCCGCUCCCGAGGCCUCCAUCCCCGUGCCCUCCGUCCACAGCCGGGCACAGCGGAGCGGUCGGCGCAGCCUCAGCCGCAAGGUCAUGUCAGGAGGCCCCUUCCUCUCCGCCUCCCCAGUUGACGCAGCCUCGAGCUUUCCUCCGCGCCUUCUGCUCAGUCGCAUUUUAGCACAGUUUACCUACUAACAAUGAGUUCUCGACGCAGUGUAGCAUUGUCGGCAUUUGUUCCCGGAUCUUCCUUUGUGAAUAUGCUCUGGAGACGUGGCAUUGAAGUUGGAGAAGAAUCCGUACAGUAUAGGAGGCCCUGAGGCUGUAAAUGCCGGCUAUACCCUUAGAUGCUUCGGGUCACAGAGAUGUGUAUUUCCCGAUACAAUACAGAAGAAACCGGUCAAGAGCUGGGAGACUGGAAGAACUUUUGCCUCUUCAAAAGCAAAGGUACAACAGAGCCUAUGAGUUGAAGAUGAAAGAAGGUCGUUGUGAUAAAUGCUUUCCAAAAACUUGUCAUAGAGGAUGGCUGUGAAAAAACCACCAGGAGGACAGCUGUGCAUGUAACAAGCAUAUAAGUACCUGCAGAUGAAUGUUCAAGUCCUUAGCAGUGGUGUUUAAAAAUUCUUCGUUGCCUCAAAGGUGUGGCAUACAACAUUUUGGAAGGGAAAAUGAAGAAUUGGUCAAGAAGACAUGAAUUAAAGCAAAUGACAAAAAUUAAUAUUUUAUUUAACAUUGAUCAUCUCACAAUAAAUUAUGUAGAAAAAUAUAAGUUCAAAUGAUUUUAAUUGCUGGGCAAUAAAGUCUCUUUUCUUUAAAAUAGA